rnacentral:rRNA from 1 species
GUGAAGAAGGCCCUUGGGUUGUAAAGCUCUUUCGUCGGGGAAGAAAAUGACUGUACCCGAAUAAGAAGGUCCGGCUAACUUCGUGCCAGCAGCCGCGGUAAUACGAAGGGACCUAGCGUAGUUCGGAAUUACUGGGCUUAAAGAGUUCGUAGGUGGUUGAAAAAGUUGGUGGUGAAAUCCCAGAGCUUAACUCUGGAACUGCCAUCAAAACUUUUCAGCUAGAGUAUGAUAGAGGAAAGCAGAAUUUCUAGUGUAGAGGUGAAAUUCGUAGAUAUUAGAAAGAAUACCAAUUGCGAAGGCAGCUUUCUGGAUCAUUACUGACACUGAGGAACGAAAGCAUGGGUAGCGAAGAGGAUUAGAUACCCUCGUAGUCCAUGCCGUAAACGAUGUGUGUUAGACGUUGGAAAUUUAUUUUCAGUGUCGCAGCGAAA